AUGGCUGGAGGUGAUAAUGGAGAUAGUUCAGGAAGGAAGCACACCCAAGAAUUCAAUUCAUGGGUGGCAUGGCUGGAGACCAUGGAUAUAGAAGACCUAAAGGAGUAUGGUAAGGCAAACGGAAAGAUGUUUAGCAGUGAAAUGAGAGCAGCAUUUAAGAGGGCCCUUGACCAAAAGAAACAACAACAACAACCACAACCACAACCACAACCCAAGAGAAAAAAGAGGAGGACCACGUUGAGUCCAAUAUUGGGUGCAGUGUUGAAGUUCCACAAGGACGAUGGACGAUGA
rnacentral:rRNA from 1 species